rnacentral:rRNA from 1 species
UACGUAGGGCGCAAGCGUUGUCCGAAAUUAUUGGGCGUAAAGAGCUCGUAGGCGGCUUGUCACGUCGAUUGUGAAAGCCCGAGGCUUAACCUCGGGUCUGCAGUCGAUACGGGCUAGCUAGAGUGUGGUAGGGGAGAUCGGAAUUCCUGGUGUAGCGGUGAAAUGCGCAGAUAUCAGGAGGAACACCGGUGGCGAAGGCGGAUCUCUGGGCCGACAUUGACGCUGAGGAGCGAAAGCGUGGGGAGCGAACAGG